rnacentral:rRNA from 1 species
CAGCAGCCGCGGUAAUACCGGCGGCCCGAGUGGCGGUCACUCUUAUUGGGCUUAAAGCGUCCGUAGCCGGGUUGGGAAGUCCUCCGGGAAAUCUGGCCGCUUAACGGUCAGAAUGCCGGAGGAUACUCCCAGCCUAGGGAGCGGGAGAGGCCGAGGGUAUUCCCGGAGUAGGGGUGAAAUCCUAUAAUCCCGGGAGGACCACCUGUGGCGAAGGCGCUCGGCUGGAACGCGUCCGACGGUGAGGGACGAAGGCCAGGGGAGCAAACCGGAUUAGAUACCCGGGUAGUCCUGGCUGUAAACGAUGCGGACUUUGUGUCGGACAAGCUAUGAGCUUGUCCGGUGCCGGAGGGAAACCGUUAAGUCCGCCGCCUGGGGAGUACGGCCGCAAGGCUGAAACUUAAAGGGAUUGGCGGG